rnacentral:rRNA from 1 species
UACGUAGGGUGCGAGCGUUAAUCGGAAUUACUGGGCGUAAAGCGUGCGCAGGCGGUUCGCUGUGUCCGAUGUGAAAGCCCCGGGCUCAACCUGGGAAUGGCAUGGGAAACUGGCGGGCUGGAGUGUGGCAGAGGGGGGUGGAAUUCCGCGUGUAGCAGUGAAAUGCGUAGAGAUGCGGAGGAACACCGAUGGCGAAGGCAGCCCCCUGGGCCAACACUGACGCUCAGGUACGAAAGCGUGGGGAGCAAACAGG